rnacentral:rRNA from 1 species
AACGAACGCUGGCGGCAGGCUUAACACAUGCAAGUCGAGCGCAUCCUUCGGGGUGAGCGGCAGACGGGUGAGUAACACGUGGGGAUUUGCCCGGUGGUACGGAAUAACUCAGGGAAACUUGAGCUAAUACCGUAUGUGCCCGCAAGGGGAAAGAUUUAUCGCCAUCGGAUGAACCCGCGUCAGAUUAGCUAGUUGGUGUGGUAAAGGCGCACCAAGGCGACGAUCUGUAGCUGGUCUGAGAGGAUGAUCAGCCACACUGGGACUGAGACACGGCCCAGACUCCUACGGGAGGCAGCAGUGGGGAAUAUUGGACAAUGGGCGCAAGCCUGAUCCAGCCAUGCCGCGUGAGUGAUGAAGGCCUUAGGGUUGUAAAGCUCUUUCGCCGACGAAGAUAAUGACGGUAGUCGGAGAAGAAGCCCCGGCUAACUUCGUGCCAGCCGCCGCCGUAACAC